rnacentral:rRNA from 1 species
AGAAUCAACGCUGGCGGCGUGCCUAACACAUGCAAGUCGCACGAGAAAGGGACUUCGGUCCUGAGUACAGUGGCGCACGGGUGAGUAACACGUGAAUGAUCUACCUCCGAGUGGGGAAUAACCUAGAGAAAUCUGGGCUAAUACCGCAUAACACUUACGAGUCAAAGCAGCAAUGCGCUUGGAGAGGAGUUCGCGGCCGAUUAGCUAGUUGGCGGGGUAAUGGCCCACCAAGGCGAUGAUCGGUA